UUGAGUAUGCGUAUGGUGUCCAUUGUCAUGUAAUCGUAUCGGGUUAAGAAGUUAUUUGCGUGUUCGAAGUUUGGUUGCGCGUUGCGCGAUUACUUGCUAGUUGCAAGCAGUUAUUUUUAUCGGUGUACUGCUACAAAUUAUUCGAUUGUUGUAAAAGACGUCUCCAGGGCUAUUACGAGUCAUAACAUAUCAAAAUUGAUGAAAAUACGUCCUAAAAUAAUCUCCCUUCGUUGUCUCAUACCAUUAUUAUAUAUACUGUCUGAUGUUUUGGAGCAUUAGUAACAUCCAGUACUGGUUUGUUGGCAUGUGUACAUAGUGACAAUAUUGACGACAUUUUGUAUACUCUGGACGUGGGCGUUUCUGUCAUAUGGAUGACGUCAUGGGUCAAAGCAGAUGGAUUAAAUCGGAUGCUUCCCUAAUGCCGAGUUCCGAAGGACACUAAUGACAGCAGCAGAGAAGCUUGCCGCUGUUCCUGAUGUGGAUAUCGACCCAGAA